AGUGAACGCUGGCGGUAGGCCUAACACAUACAAGUCGAACGGCAGCACAGUAAGAGCUUGCUCUUACGGGUGGCGAGUGGCGGACGGGUGAGGAAUACAUCGGAAUCUACUUUUUCGUGGGGGAUAACGUAGGAAAACUUACGCUAAUACCGCAUACGACCUACGGGUGAAAGCAGGGGAUCUUCGGACCUUGCGCGAUUGAAUGAGCCGAUGUCGGAUUAGCUAGUUGGCGGGGUAAAGGCCCACCAAGGCGACGAUCCGUAGCUGGUCUGAGAGGAUGAUCAGCCACACUGGAACUGAGACACGGUCCAGACUCCUACGGGAGGCAGCAGUGGGGAAUAUUGGACAAUGGGCGCAAGCCUGAUCCAGCCAUACCGCGUGGGUGAAGAAGGCCUUCGGGUUGUAAAGCCCUUUUGUUGGGAAAGAAAAGCAGCAGGUUAAUACCCCGCUGUUCUGACGGUACCCAAAGAAUAAGCACCGGCUAACUUCGUG
rnacentral:rRNA from 1 species